GGCUGGUUUGAGAAACUGUGGAGACAUAUAAACAAAGGGAUUGAAGGAAUGGGUACAUUGAAGCCGAGUAUUGGGAAGCCUAGGAGUGUUGCUAUGUAAAAACAGUUUUGAGGUUAUAAAUAAAACGCAAAAAAGAAUAUUAACUGGUAUAUGAUGAUUUUAGGAAGGAAGGAAAGGGGUAGUUGGUAAUCUGGGCUCAAGAGGAAACAAACAGAGAACAACAUGGCCAAUUUUUUUUUUUUUUUUAA
rnacentral:misc_RNA from 1 species